GACGAACGCUGGCGGCGUGCUUAACACAUGCAAGUCGAACGAAGAGCGAUGGAAGCUUGCUUCUAUCAAUCUUAGUGGCGAACGGGUGAGUAACGCGUAAUCAACCUGCCCUUCAGAGGGGGACAACAGUUGGAAACGACUGCUAAUACCGCAUACGAUCUAACCUCGGCAUCGAGGAUAGAUUAAAGGUGGCCUCUACAUGUAAGCUAUCACUGCAGGAGGGGAGUGGGGCUGAUUAGGUAGGUGGAGGGGUAACGGCCCACCCAGGCGAUGAUCAGUAGCCGGUCUGAUAGGAGGAACGGCCACAUUGGGACGGAGACACGGCCCAGACCCCUACGGGAGGCAGCAGGGGGGAAGCUUCCGCAAGGGACGAAAGUCUGACGGAGCAACGCCGCGUGAGUGAUGACGGCCUUCGGGUUGUAAAGCUCUGUUAAUCGGGACGAAAGGCCUUCUUGCGAAUAGUUAGAAGGAUUGACGGUACCGGAAUAGAAAGCCACGGCUAACUACGUG
rnacentral:rRNA from 1 species